rnacentral:tRNA from 1 species
GGUCGCCAUGGCCCGCGGAGUGCUGGUGUCUCGAUCGUCCCCCGGAGAGACGUCGUUCAACUCCGGUUCGAUCCGGUCGGCGUUCG